rnacentral:rRNA from 1 species
AUUGAACGCUGGCGGCAGGCCUAACACCUGCAAGUCGAGCGAGCGGCGGACGGGUGAGUAAUGUAUGGGGACUGCCCGAUAGAGGGGGAUAACUACUGGAAACGGUGGCUAAUACCGCAUCCUUUCGGAUAACCAAUAUGGGCUUAGCUAGUAGGUAAGGUAAUGGCGUACCUAGUCGACGAUCCCUAGCUGGUCUGAGAGGGUGAUCCGCAACACUGGAGCUGAGAAACGGCCCAGACUCCUACGGAGGAAGCAGUGGGGAAUAUUGCACAAGGGGCGCAAGCCUGAUGCAGCCAUGCCGCGUGUAUGAAGAAGGCCCUAGGGUUGUAAAGUACUUUCAGUCGGGAGGCGUUACCGACAGAAGAAGCACCGGCUAACUCCGUGCCAGCAGCCGCGGUAAUAC